GCCUACGGGGCGCAGCAGUGAGGAAUAUUGGUCAAUGGGAGAGAUCCUGAACCAGCCAAGCCGCGUGAGGGAAGACGGCCCUAUGGGUUGUAAACCUCUUUUGUCGGAGAACAAAACCCGGGACGUGUCCCGGACUGCGUGUAUCCGAAGAAAAAGCAUCGGCUAACUCCGUGCCAGCAGCCGCGGUAAUACGGAGGAUGCGAGCGUUAUCCGGAUUUAUUGGGUUUAAAGGGUGCGUAGGUGGAAUAUCAAGUCAGCGGUGAAAAUUAGGGGCUCAACCCCGGCGUGCCGUUGAAACUGAUGGU
rnacentral:rRNA from 1 species